rnacentral:rRNA from 1 species
UUGAACGCUGGCGGCAGGCUUAACACAUGCAAGUCGAGCGGAGAGAGGUAGCUUGCUACUGAUCUUAGCGGCGGACGGGUGAGUAAUGCUUAGGAAUCUGCCUAUUAGUGGGGGACAACAUUUCGAAAGGAAUGCUAAUACCGCAUACGUCCUACGGGAGAAAGCAGGGGAUCUUCGGACCUUGCGCUAAUAGAUGAGCCUAAGUCGGAUUAGCUAGUUGGUGGGGUAAAGGCCUACCAAGGCGACGAUCUGUAGCGGGUCUGAGAGGAUGAUCCGCCACACUGGGACUGAGACACGGCCCAGACUCCUACGGGAGGCAGCAGUGGGGAAUAUUGGACAAUGGGCGCAAGCCUGAUCCAGCCAUGCCGCGUGUGUGAAGAAGGCCUUAUGGUUGUAAAGCACUUUAAGCGAGGAGGAGGCUACUUUAGUUAAUACCUAGAGAUAGUGGACGUUACUCGCAGAAUAAGCACCGGCUAACUCUGUGC